AACUGGCUUGCCUUAUGAUAAAGGAAGUUCUUCAGGCAAUAAUACCAGAGGGUGACUGAAAUCCACAGGAAAAAAUAAAAAGCAUCAUAAAUGGUAAAUAUAAAAGGAUUUCUAAAGAGAAUGGAAAAGCAGAUCCCCAGACAGAACAGCAGUGUCAUCUGGUUUAAUGAUGGGAGAUGGAUAACAGGACUUGUGACCCAGAAAAAGAAAAACUGACAUAGAAGCUGAGGUUGAAAAAGCUUAGACUCCUCAAGGUCUCAGAGCCUGUAUCCACAAUGCUCCCUGGUUCUACAGUCCAGGCACUUAACCACAAGUCGGUAUUUCCUGACUCUUGAAAAUAUGGAUUGGGUCCUGGAGAGUGAAGCAACAUACCUGUGGUAAAGGAUGGGGUGUGCUGUAUGCCUUUGUCUUUCACUUUGGGAGAAAGGAGCAUAUCUAAUAUCUACCACCAGAGACCGCCAAAGAGCCAUCCAAUCACCGGGUAGGCUCAGAGAUACUCCUUAACAUACCUGCUGUGUGAAAAUCACAACACGGAAGGCACCCAACUGAGAAUGGCUUCAGCAUAGGAGAAGGCAGCAGAGAUCCUGACGAGUGGUUCGGCCACAGUCAUAUCAGAUAAUGGGACCAAGGUAUUUUGGUUUUGAGGCUACUUAUGGCAGCUGAAUUGACUUGAAAUCUGCAUGGGAAGCAAAAGUGCUUUCAUCUUUGAAGACAGUGUCUCCUUUCCAUAGGUCCCUCGUGACCUCUGCCUCCCAGAUGUGCUGAAGGACAAACAGUUGGGUGGGAAUUAACUUAGAGCCCAGGAGGUUUAUUUUCCUUACUGACUCAGGUGAUGAAGAUUAAAUAUGAACCUUCUCCUAAGGCCUUCAUAUUAUCUCAGGGUAAGGUACAAUUUUUGUUUGUUUUACUGCAUGGUCAGCUGGAAUAUGUUAUUUUUCAGAAUUCUAAUAUUCUCUCAUUAAAUAUGAUCAACCCAAAAUAAUCUGAACUGAGACAAUGAGGGACUUGUCUAUUUCUAAAACACCUACAAAAUUUGAAGUCUCUUGACUUUGGAGUGUGUAACAUUAAGAGAGCAAAAGGGCUUAGUUAUCCAACCGGUCAACUAAAUACCUUCAACAACAGAGGUACCCAAAAUAUUUGAAGACAUUUCGGCUUCCAUGAAUUUGACUGGAAUGUCAAACCAGGUAAUCCAGAAAGAAACUAUCUGAAUUUCAGCAUUCAUAUGAGUUGGGAGUUCACGAUUCACUAAUGUCCUUAUUUUUAAUACAUCUUUCCAACUAGGCCUUGCAAGGAAAGUCUAAGUUCUCA